rnacentral:rRNA from 1 species
AACGAACGCUGGCGGCAUGCCUAACACAUGCAAGUCGAACGAGACCUUCGGGUCUAGUGGCGCACGGGUGCGUAACGCGUGGGAACCUGCCCUUAGGUUCGGAAUAACUCCCCGAAAGGGGUGCUAAUACCGGAUAAUGUCUUCGGACCAAAGAUUUAUCGCCUUUGGAUGGGCCCGCGUUGGAUUAGCUAGUUGGUAGGGUAAAAGCCUACCAAGGCGACGAUCCAUAGCUGGUCUGAGAGGAUGAUCAGCCACACUGGGACUGAGACACGGCCCAAACUCCUACGGGGGGCAGGAGUGGGGAAUUUUGGAAAAGGGGCAAAAACCUGAUCCAGCAAGGCCGGGGGAGUGAUGAAGGCCUUGGGGUGUUAAAGCUUUUUUACCCGGGAUGAUAAGGGAAGUACCGGGAAAAUAAGCCCCGGAUAACUCCGU